rnacentral:lncRNA from 1 species
AUGUAUCUAUCUAAAAAAACAUUUGUCUGUUUAUUCACUUCCUUCAGAUCCAUGAUUGAAUGCAAAGCACACGAGUUGAAAUACUACACAGUUGAGACUGGCAAUACUUUGGAUUCUCAUAUUCAGUUUAUGAGACAACUCAACAACACCACAAGAUGUUUUACAGAAGUCGAGUCGCCAGUGGAGAGUGAUGUCAUCAUGGCUUUCUGUCCCAUCGUCUCCCGCGCCGGGACUGAUAUUGAAGCAGCACUGCAACAGAUUCCAAUGGGUAAAGAUGUCAUUCUGGUAGUGCUGCAUCACACCUUCAACCCAGACUACACUGUACCUUACAGCAGCAGACUAGUGACCAGAAGUGAUGUAAUACUCACAGUGGACUGUCUGUUCCAUGAGAGACUGGGAGGACUACUGGACUGUCCUCGCAAUGAUGCAGCAGUCAGAAAUAUUAGGCAGAAGUUUGACACAGUGGACUGUCUGUUCCAUGAGAGCCAGGGACUACUGGACUGUCCUCACAAUGAUGCAGCAGUCAGAAAUAUUAGGCAGAAGUUUGACACAGUGGACUGUCUGUUCCAUGAGAGCCAGGGACUACUGGACUGUCCUCACAAUGAUGCAGCAGUCAGAAAUAUUAGGCAGAAGAUUGACAUAGAUCCUGUGGCCAGAAAUCGUGACUGUCUAGCUUGGAUUCUAAACGCUGCCAUGGUGUUACUGUCUUUAUGCUGCAACUGCCCUUGUGUGGUGUUUUCUUACAUGAUGGGGCUCAUCUCAGGCAAAAGUAGGUUCCAGUAG